rnacentral:rRNA from 1 species
UACAGAGGGUGCAAGCGUUGUUCGGAAUUAUUGGGCGUAAAGCGCGCGUAGGCGGCUACUUAAGUCGGAUGUGAAAGCCCUUGGCUCAACUGAGGAAGUGCACCCGAAACUGAGUGGCUAGAGUACGAAAGAGGGUCGCGGAAUUCCCCGGUGUAGAGGUGAAAUUCGUAGAUAUCGGGAGGAACACCGGUGGCGAAGGCGGCGACCUGGGUCGAUACUGACGCUGAUGCGCGAAAGCGUGGGGAGCAAACAGG